rnacentral:rRNA from 1 species
UCGAGAAUUUUUCACAAUGGGCGAAAGCCUGAUGGAGCGACGCCGCGUGGGGGAUGAAUGGCUUCGGCCCGUAAACCCCUGUCAUUUGUGACCAAACCUUCCGAUCUAAUAAGUCGGAAGCUGAUGGUAGCGGAAGAGGAAGGGACGGCUAACUCUGUGCCAGCAGCCGCGGUAAUACAGAGGUCCCAAGCGUUGUUCGGAUUCACUGGGCGUAAAGGGUGCGUAGGUGGUCGGGUAAGUCUGAUGUGAAAUCUCCGAGCUUAACUCGGAAAUGGCAUUGGAUACUAUCUGACUGGAGGGUUGGAGGGGGGACUGGAAUUCUCGGUGUAGCAGUGAAAUGCGUAGAUAUCGAGAGGAACACCAGUGGCGAAGGCGAGUCCCUGGACAACUCCUGACACUGAGGCACGAAAGCUAGGGGAGCAAACAGGAUUAGAUACCCCGGUAGUCC